GGAGACGGCGGCUCGUUCCGGCUCCCGAGCCGAGCCCAGGUUGCUCGGCCUCGGGAUCGCGUUGUGCUCGGAGAAGGGAGGAAGAGAGGUUAGCGGCGGGGAAGCGAUAGCUGCGCUCUCCGGAGAGCCGCUCUCCACCAGGCAGCGCCUAGAAAUCUAUUUAAAGAGAAGGAAAGGCGGAGGGGGGAGAACAAAGGGGGAGGAGGAGGAGGGUACCGAGCCGGAGCCGGGAGAGAGCUGGAGGAGGCACCGCGCUGCCACAGCUGUGCGCCGCGACCGGAGGAGCACGGGCGGCGGUGGGCAGGGCGGCCCUUUCUCCUCUCACUGCCAAGGGAAGGGACGGGGAGGGGGGAGGCGGUGAGGGAACGGGGAGCCCCAGGGCCGGAGGCGCUUCCUGGCAAAGCCCAAUAGGAGAGAAAGGCCGCGGGUUACGAUUGGGAUUAAUUAUUAUUCUCCAGCAGCCAGAAGGAUGAUCAGGGCAUCGUGCGGCCCUCGCCUCUCCCCGCUCCCACUCCUUUCUUCUCCCUCCACCUUUCUUUAUUUUCCUUUUUUUUUUUUUUUUUUCUUCGCUGAAACUCGGCUGCUUCCUUCGAGCCCUCCGACGAUUUAACCCUUUGCCCGCAGAGCCUCGAGGUGGGCGAACACAAAGCACAUCGUGAAAGCCUCAGACCGAAAGAAUCCCGAUCAACACGGGAACGCCGCACGGCCAUAAGUCGGUAUGGCACCGGCGGUGCUGGACCGCCCUAGGACGGCGGCUCUCAGCAGGGAAGCCCGGCCCGGCCCUGCCUUGUCACCAGCUCGCCACCGGGUGCCGCCGGGCACAUCGCUCCCACACAUGGUCCGCAUUUCGCACGGCGGCAGCGUGCUUCCUCUCGGCCUCUCGUUGCCGCUCUCCGAACAGAGGGAGAGGGGGAAAAAAAACCCCAAAAAAAACAAAAAAACAAACAAAAAAAAACAA